rnacentral:rRNA from 1 species
UGGGGAAUCUUGCGCAAUGGGCGAAAGCCUGACGCAGCGACGCCGCGUGAGGGAAGAAGGCCUUCGGGUUGUAAACCUCUUUUAAGAGGGAAGAAGCCACUCGGGUGAAUAGCCCAGAGGGUGACGGUACCUCUAGAAUAAGCCCCGGCUAACUACGUGCCAGCAGCCGCGGUAAUACGUAGGGGGCAAGCGUUGUCCGGAUUUACUGGGCGUAAAGAGCGUGUAGGCGGCCAGACAGGUCCGUUGUGAAAACUGGAGGCUCAACCUCCAGACGUCGACGGAAACCGUCUGGCUAGAGUCCGGAAGAGGAGAGUGGAAUUCCUGGUGUAGCGGUGAAAUGCGCAGAUAUCAGGAAGAACACCGAUGGCGAAGGCAGCUCUCUGGGACGGUACUGACGCUGAGACGCGAAAGCGUGGGGAGCGAACAGG